rnacentral:rRNA from 1 species
GAUGAACGCUGGCGGCGUGCCUAAUACAUGCAAGUCGAACGAGGUGCUCAAGUAGCAAUACGAGAGUAUCCUAGUGGCGAACGGGUGAGUAACGCGUUGGUGACCUGCCCCAAAGUGUGGGAUAACAGUUCGAAAGGACUGCUAAUACCUCAUGUGGUCUUCGGAUUUAGAAACUGAUGACUAAAGGAGCAAUCCGCUUUGGGAGGGACCUGCGUCCCAUCAGCUAGUUGGUAGGGUAACGGCCUACCAAGGCUACGACGGGUAGGGGACCUGAGAGGGUGACCCCCCACAAUGGAACUGAAACACGGUCCAUACACCUACGGGUGGCAGCAGUAGGGAAUAUUGCACAAUGGGCGAAAGCCUGAUGCAGCAACGCCGCGUGUGCGAAGAAGGCCUUCGGGUCGUAAAGCACUUUUCUGAGAGAUGAGAAAGGACAGUAUCUCAGGAAUAAGUCUCGGCUAACUACGUGCCAGCCGCCGCAGUAAUAC